UACGGGGGGAGCAAGCGUUGUUCGGAUUUACUGGGCGUAAAGGGCGCGUAGGCGGAUCUUUAAGUCAGGGGUGAAAUCCUGGAGCUCAACUCCAGAACUGCCUUUGAUACUGGGGAUCUCGAGUCCGGAAGAGGUGAGUGGAACUCCGAGUGUAGAGGUGAAAUUCGUAGAUAUUCGGAAGAACACCAGUGGCGAAGGCGGCUCACUGGUCCGGUACUGACGCUGAGGUGCGAAAGCGUGGGGAGCAAACAGG
rnacentral:rRNA from 1 species